rnacentral:rRNA from 1 species
GAUGAACGCUGGCGGCGUGCCUAAUACAUGCAAGUCGAGCGAACAGACGAGGAGCUUGCUCCUUUGACGUUAGCGGCGGACGGGUGAGUAACACGUAGGUAACCUACCUAUAAGACUGGGAUAACUUCGGGAAACCGGAGCUAAUACCGGAGAAUAUUUCGAACCGCAGGGUGCGAUAGUGAAAGAUGGCUGUGCUAUCACGUAUAGAUGGACCUGCGCCGUAUUAGCUGGUUGGUAAGGUAACGGCCUACCAAGGCAACGAUCCGUAGCCGACCUGAUAGAGUGAUAGCCCACCCUGGAACUGGACCACCCUCAGGACUACUGCGGGACGGCGCAGAAGGGAACCUUCCGCAAUGGGCGAAAGCCUGACACAGCAACCCCGCGUGAGUUACGAAGGCCUUCGGAUCGUAAAACCCUGUUAUUGGGUAAAAACAGACGUCUCAGUAACCGUGCCCGUAGUGACGGUACCUAAUCAGAAAGCAACGGCUAACUACGUG